rnacentral:rRNA from 1 species
CCUACGGGAGGCAGCAGUGGGGAAUAUUGGACAAUGGGCGAAAGCCUGAUCCAGCAAUGCCGCGUGAGUGAUGAAGGCCUUAGGGUUGUAAAGCUCUUUUACCAGGGAUGAUAAUGACAGUACCUGGAGAAUAAGCUCCGGCUAACUCCGUGCCAGCGGCCGCGGUAAUACGGAGGGAGCUAGCGUUGUUCGGAAUUACUGGGCGUAAAGCGCGCGUAGGCGGUUACUCAAGUCAGAGGUGAAAGCCCGGGGCUCAACCCCGAAACUGCCUUUGAAACUAGAGAGCUAGAAUCUUGGAGAGGUCAGUGAAAUUCCGAGUGUAGAGGUAAAAUUCGUAGAUAUUCGGAAGAACACCAGUGGCGAAGGCGACUGACUGGACAAGUAU